GACGAACGCUGGCGGCGCGCCUAACACAUGCAAGUCGAACGGAACUGCGAGAAGCUUGCUUUUCUUAGCUUAGUGGCGCACGGGUGAGUCACGCGUGAGUACCCUGCUCUGGAGUGGGGGACCACAGUUGGACACGACUGCUAAUCCCGCAUGAGCCCACGAUCCGGGAUCGGGUUUAGGGAAAAGGGUUUAUUCGCUUCAGGAUGGACGCGCGUCCACUUGUCUAGUGGGUGAGGUAACGGCACACCAAGGAGGCGAUUGGUAGCCGGAAUGAGAGGCGGACCGGUUACAAUGGGACUGAGACACGGACCAGACUCCUACGGGAGGGAGGAGUGUGGUAUAUUGCGCGAGGGGGGAAACCGUGAUGAAGCGACGCGGGGGGGAGGGAGAAGGGUUUCGGAUUGUAAAUUCCCGUCGGAAGGGACGAGAAUGACGGUACCUAGCAAGAAAGCACCGGCUAACUACGUG
rnacentral:rRNA from 1 species